rnacentral:rRNA from 1 species
AUUGAACGCUGGCGGCAGGCCUAACACAUGCAAGUCGAGCGGAAGAGGGGCGCUUGCUCCUGGAUUUAGCGGCGGACGGGUGAGUAAUGCCUAGGAAUGUGCUUGGCAGCGGGGGAUAACGUGCGGAAACGGGCGCUAAUACUGCAGACGUGCUGAGUGAGAAAGUGGGGGAUCUUCGGACCUCACGCUAUCAGAUUAGCCUAGGGCGGAUGAGCUAGUUGGUGGGGUAAAGGCCUACCAAGGCGACGAACCGUAACUGGUCGGAGAGGAUGAUAGGGCACACUGGAACGGAGACACGGUCCAGACUCCUACGGGAGGCAGCAGUGUGGAAUAUUGGACAACAGUGGAAAGCCUUAUCCAGCCAUGCCGCGUGUGUUAAGAAGGUCUUCGGAUUGUAAAGCACUUUAAGUUGGGGUGAAGGGCAGUAAGUUAAUACCUUGCUGUUUUGACGUUACCAACAGAAUAAGCACCGGCUAACUUCGUG